AAUAGAUACCCAGGUAGUCUACGCCGUAAACGAUGUCGACUUGGAGGUUGUGCCCUUGAGGCGUGGCUUCCGGAGCUAACGCGUUAAGUCGACCGCCUGGGGAGUACGGCCGCAAGGUUAAAACUCAAAUGAAUUGACGGGGGCCCGCACAAGCGGUGGAGCAUGUGGUUUAAUUCGAUGCAACGCGAAGAACCUUACCUACUCUUGACAUCCAGAGAACUUAGCAGAGAUGCUUUGGUGCCUUCGGGAACUCUGAGACAGGUGCUGCAUGGCUGUCGUCAGCUCGUGUUGUGAAAUGUUGGGUUAAGUCCCGCAACGAGCGCAACCCUUAUCCUUUGUUGCCAGCGGUCCGGCCGGGAACUCAAAGGAGACUGCCAGUGAUAAACUGGAGGAAGGUGGGGAUGACGUCAAGUCAUCAUGGCCCUUACGAGUAGGGCUACACACGUGCUACAAUGGCAUAUACAAAGAGAAGCGACCUCGCGAGAGCAAGCGGACCUCAUAAAGUAUGUCGUAGUCCGGAUUGGAGU
rnacentral:rRNA from 1 species